rnacentral:rRNA from 1 species
GACAGAGGGUGCAAACGUUGUUCGGAAUUACUGGGCGUAAAGCGAGUGUAGGCGGUUCGAUAAGUCGGAUGUGAAAGCCCCGGGCUCAACCCGGGAAGUGCACUCGAUACUGUCGAGCUAGAGUAUCGGAGAGGUUGGUGGAAUUCUCGGUGUAGAGGUGAAAUUCGUAGAUAUCGAGAGGAACACCGGUGGCGAAGGCGGCUCACUGGUCCGGUACUGACGCUGAGGUGCGAAAGCGUGGGGAGCAAACAGG